UGAGGAAUAUUUCUCAAUGGGCGAAAGCCUGAAGCAGCAACGCCGCGUGCGCGAUGAAGGUCUUCGGAUCGUAAAGCGCUUUUGAGAGGGACGAGAUAGGACGGUACCUCUUGAAUAAGUCACGGCUAACUACGUGCCAGCAGCCGCGGUAAAACGUAGGUGGCAAGCGUUAUCCGGAUUCACUGGGCGUAAAGCGCGUGCAGGUGGCUUCGUAAGUUGGACGUUAAAUCUUUCGGCCUAACCGGGAGGUGUCGUUCAAUACUGCGGGGCUUGAGGGUAGAAGAGGGGGGUGGAAUUGCCGGUGUAGUGGUGAAAUGCGUAGAUAUCGGCAGGAACACCUGUGGCGAAAGCGGCCCCCUGGUCUGCUCCUGACACUCAGACGCGAAAGCUAGGGGAGUGAACG
rnacentral:rRNA from 1 species